UCCCAUGUGGUCUAGUGGUUAGGAUUCUUGGCUUUCACCCAGGCGGACCGGGUUCGAUUCCCGGCAUGGGAA
rnacentral:tRNA from 1 species